UUUGUUUUCUCCUAGGAAUUAAUCAAAAUAACCAAGUGGAUCAGGUUAUACUUGCUGAUUUCUAUUCAGCUUCUGUAAUCAGGCACCAGCAGUUUAUUUGCCACAGAGGGGCAUUUGACAUUGGUUGGCAGGUGUGUGCAUGGUGAGGUGGAGAGCCAGCCCUGUGAGCAGACCAGCGUGCUGUGAACGUGAGGCCCCGCGCAGAGCCUCACCUGGGAGCGGCCUCCUGGGGCAGGCGAGGCAGGAGCCUGUGGGCCUGAUGAGGGAGGCCGGCUGCCCGGAUCUCGGACAUGAGGAGUGCCGCCUCUUCCAAAGCCGGAUAUUUGGCACGUUAUCAGAAAACUUGACCAUCAAAUAUGAAGACAAAUAUCUAAACAGUUACCAGAGAGACAAGACAGAAUGCCUACAAAGGUGAGACCUGGAAACGUCUGCUCUUCAAGGAAGUGUCACAGGAGGCUGGGGUGGAUGAGCUGUUGUGUCGGGUGUAAUUAACAGCAACGACUUGAAUCAGGAUCUCUUCACAUCUUCCCAGAAGACUGCAGGGUCCUGAGGGGACAGAAGCAAAGUCACACAUGAGCACCCCUCCCCAAUUCUAACCGCUAGGAGGUUUAAAAGGAUCCAGUGGAAAACCUCAAGAUAAGAAUGGUCAAAAGGACUGGCACAAAUAACUCACAACAAGAAAGCCAAUCGACCAGUGAACAUCCCUAUGAGCAUUGAAAGACAUGAAAAAUUAAAACGACAUCCUCGAACAUCAGAUUUCAUGUUUCUUCUUUCGGGAGGACUAGUAGCAAAGCGAUGCUCUCUGGCUGCCGCAGGAGCGCCGGCGCUGCCUGAUCGCUGGAGCACCCCGGGCCUUACUGGAGGGACUUGUGUUUUAGAAACGACUCUUCAGGCCACGUGACCCGAGUGGGUGCUGCCAAUCACAGCUGCACCCCCGGGGCCAGCCAAUCAGAGUCUUCCUGGCCUGAAGCCCUGCAGCCAGAGGGGAAAUUUCGUCUUGCACUGUGCAGCUUGGUGAGGCCCGGGGCUCCGGAAAGGUCCCUUCCAGCCCCUGGGGAACAUACCUGUGAAAGGAAAUGAUGGAGUCACCAUGCACAGGGGAGAAACCAUGAAUGGACCAGUCCUGGAGUCAUAGAAACUUCUUGCUCUUAAUUCACAACUUAACACUUUUUCCUGUAUAGUUAAGACAAUGCAUUUGUCUUAUUGCUUAAGCUAAGGUUGUUUUUUUUUUUUUGUCCUAAGAAAUGAAGCUUUUGAUCUGUGGACCACAUCAUUAUUGUGCUUCUUUUACAUAUUGAUUUAGAAAACUUAUAUGUAUAUUGUUUUUCUUCCCACAGGCUGGGAUUCAUUGAUACGGGCAAUAGGGAGAAAAGAGUAUUAUUUAGUAAUGAAAACACAUGCCUGGAUUUGUGUCUCAGAAAGCUAAUAUUGAUCACAGUGUACUAGAUGAAAUAGGGAAGAAUCAGAAGUCAGGGAAACCAACUGAAAAGCUCCAUGUAAGUUAGAUAAGCUAUAAACCAGGGAAGCUGUGAAAGAGGCAAAUGAGAGAAGACCGGCUAGAGACUUAUGUUGGAAGGACAGCUGAAGUGACCUGUAUAUGGAUGAAAAAAGAAAGAUGUAAUAAGAAGAUGCAAAACUUCAGAAAAUGCCAAACAUUGUGAAAGGGACACUAAGAUAAAGGAAGAAAUCUUUAAAUGUGCUUUUCUUGGAGAUCGGUCAUUGAAAAUAUUGGGGAAAACCACUUUUGCCCUGUUGUUGCAUGGUCUGAAUACAGACUUGAGACAUGGGAAAAAAAUCAGAAUUCGUUCCUUCUUUGCUGUUCCCCUGUUCUUGGUUUUUGAUCAGUCUACUGUGAUUGCUUUAGCUCACUAUAGAUUUUGAGAUAGAAGGUUACAACUUCAUGCUUAUCUAUAACUGCAGUAAUGUAACAUUGGAAAUGAUACCCAGCUUUGUCAAAGAUAGCAGGCUCUUCUGAAAGAAUACCAUACCUCACCAUGUGAUUUUCCUUCCUUUAGGAAGAGGUAGCAUUUCAUAUAUUUAUGCACAUCUCAGAAUGAACAAAUUUUAUUUUUCUAAUCAUGGCUUAGAUGAUAAAAGAAAAACAGUAGCAUCUACCAAUAAACAAAUUAAACUAUUUCUUGACUAGCUUAGUGUUAGAAUGACAAAGCCUUGACUGAAAAAUAACCCACUUCUUAUCUGUAACAGUACUCAACAUGUUCUGAUUUUUAAUUUGUUGUUUUUCUGUCAUCUGUGCCCUAGGAAAUUGUAUUCUUAUGUUUUAUUACAAUAAGAAGAAAUAUUUCCAGGUUGCAUAUGGCUGUGCUCUUGAACUUUUGACAUUUAAAGGGCAAUAGAAUGCUAAUGUGACUAAUAAAACAGAAAAGUGACUU